GGGAGUAACUAUUGGAAACGAUAGCUAAUACCGCAUAACAACAGUUGUUGCAUGACAGCUGUUUAAAAGAUGCAAUUGCAUCACUACCAGAUGGACCUGCGUUGUAUUAGCUAGUUGGUGAGGUAACGGCUCACCAAGGCGACGAUACAUAGCCGACCUGAGAGGGUGAUCGGCCACACUGGGACUGAGACACGGCCCAG
rnacentral:rRNA from 1 species